AAGAUUUUAAGUUAAAAAAACUAUUAAUCUUCAAAAUUAAAAAUAAUAUUAAUCAAACAAUAUUAAAUCUU
rnacentral:tRNA from 1 species